GACGAACGCUGGCGGCGUGCUUAACACAUGCAAGUCGAACGGAAAGGCCCUGCUUUUGUGGGGUGCUCGAGUGGCGAACGGGUGAGUAACACGUGAGUAACCUGCCCUUGACUUUGGGAUAACUUCAGGAAACUGGGGCUAAUACCGGAUAGGAGCUCCUGCUGCAUGGUGGGGGUUGGAAAGUUUCGGCGGUUGGGGAUGGACUCGCGGCUUAUCAGCUUGUUGGUGGGGUAGUGGCUUACCAAGGCUUUGACGGGUAGCCGGCCUGAGAGGGUGACCGGCCACAUUGGGACUGAGAUACGGCCCAGACUCCUACGGGCGGCCGCCGUGGGGCCUCUUGCCCGCUGGGCGGAAGCCUGAUGCAGCAACGCCGCGUGCGGGAUGACGGCCUUCGGGUUGUAAACCGCUUUCGCCUGUGACGAAGCGUGAGUGACGGUACUGGGUAAAGAAGCACCGGCUCCCUACGUG
rnacentral:rRNA from 1 species